ensembl:lncRNA
AUUUUAAAUAAGCCUAAUAUAGUGAUUUUUUUAUUUCGUAAGAUAAAAACACAUUGGGAAAGCUAAUGUGUAUCAUAAUUAGUUGCGUGUCCAGAUGAUAUGGAGAAGUUUCUCUGCAUCCAUGAGUGGUAUAGUGAGGUAGCUAAGAGGUUGGGCGCUGGCUCUAAAAUGUUGGCUAAUAGUUGGAUGAUCUUGGGCCAAAUUAGGGAGUUACUUUGAGCUUCUGUUUCCUCAUCUGUACAAUGGGGGAGGAUAAAAAGUACCAGUUUCAUAGGUUUGAUAGUAAAAGGGCAUUCAACAGCCCCCCAGCAAGGUCAGCUUUGUACUAGUACAUAAGAAAUCUGAGUGGACUCCAGCCCAGGUGGACAGUGAUUUCUACUGACACCUUUGUCUUAAGCUCUGGUAGCUGUUAGGAUUCAACUAGAGUCUGUGUUAUGUACCCCAAAAAGGACCUGAGAUGUGGUAAGCACCUUCAAAUUAUGAACAGUAUGUUUCCAAAGCAUUUUGAGCAAUAGAGGACAGUUGCCGAUUGGGUAAUGUUUCCAUAUGACCCAGAAAUUCCACUCCUAUGUAUCUAAGAAAUGAAAACAUGUUCAUACAAAAACUUGCACCCCAGUUUUUAUAACAGCAAUAUCCAUGAUAGCCAAAAGGUAGAAACAACCCAAAUGCCCCAUCAACAGAAUGUGUGGCAUAUGCAUACAAUGGAAUUGUAUUCAACCAUAAAACAUGAAGUACUGAUGCAACAUGGGUGAACUGGAAAAGAUAAUGCUGCUACUGCUAAGUCGCUUCAGUUGUGUCCGACUCUGUGCAACCCCAUAGACGGCAGUCCACCAGGCUCCCCCGUCCCUGGGAUUCUCCAGGCAAGAACACUGGAGUGGGUUGCCAUUUCCUUCUCCAAUGCAUGAAAGUGAAAAGUUAAAGUGAAAUUGCUCAGUCGUGUCCGACUCUUAGUGACCCCAUGGACUUCAGCCCACCAGGCUCCUCUGUCCAUGGGAUUUUCCAGGCAAGAGUACUGGAGUGGGGUGCCAUUGCCUUCUCC